rnacentral:misc_RNA from 1 species
AAAACGCAGAAAAUGGAUAAGUGAAGGUCGACCACGUGGAAUGUGUCACGAGUCUUAUAUAUAAGAACUAUAAGCCCGCUUAAAGUGAGUUCCUGCAUUCGACGACUUCAUGACUAAGUUCUUUAAGGAUAUAUCGACGAAGCUGCCGAAUGCGACGUCCGACUAUUCUGGAAACUAAUCAAACGACAGCGUCCUCGCAGUUCCCGUGUGUGUCCAGAAAUAGAAUUUGGUAACAUGACUUUUUCUGACCCUGGCGACAUAGCUAACCCAAUACUUUGAAAAUGUUUACAACUCAAAUGACAACGAUUCAAUCAAUUUCGACUUCUACUACAACAUUGAAAACUCAUAAAUCCAUGAAAACUGCUAACAUCUUAUCCCAGGAGGUAAAGUCACCAUCGAAGAAAUCUUACUGAUAAUCCGUGAUUUGAAACUCAGAAAAGCUCCAGGAAUAGAUCUUAUCUAGAAUAAGCAAGUAAUCCACGGAGAAUUAGAACUUAAACUGUGCAUACUUCAUCUGUUUAACUCAUUAAUUAAAAUUGGCCAAAUUCCUGAUUCUUGGAAAAAAGACAUAAUCGUCCCAAAUCCACAGACAGUUACAGACCAAUAGCCUUACUCUCAUGCUUUCGAAAAAAUGUUACUUUCAAGAACUAAAACCUAUGUAUUAUCUACUAGUGAUUCCCCAAACCCUCAACGGCAUUAAGGAUUUCAGCCAAAGCUAAUUUGCCUUACAUCCUUUAACUUACAAGAAACUAUUUGUCACAACUUAAAACUUGGUAGUCCCGUAUAUAUAUUAUAUGUCGCUUUCUUAGAUACACAGAAAGCAUUCGACACAGUGUGGAGGCAUGGUCUAAUGUACAAGUUACAUCGCCUUGGUGUUUCAGUACGUCUGUGGACUCUUAUUGACGACUGUCACACCAACACCUCAUGGUCUGUGGUAGUAAACCAAACAAGAUCAUCCUGGUUUCCUGUUUCGCAAGGAGUUCGCCAAGGCGGAAUCCUCUCAACACUUCUGGCUUUCAUUAACACCCUGUCUCAAGAAAUUUAAAACCAGAGUCCAAAUAUGGGUAUUUACAGUAUCACUAGCCCUGACCCCACCCGUGCAGACGAUAUCUCCUGCAUAGCUUUAUCUCCUGCAGCCAUCCAAAAUAUUCUCACCACAGCAUUGAAAUACUCUUUGAAUUGGAGAUUCAAGUUUAAUGCAGGCAAGUCAUGUGGUCUCCGGUUUACCCCCUAACCACCUCAUAAUGACUUGCAUGUUACAUGGUUCCUAGGUACAGAGUCUGUCUACUUGUCUAAUACAUAUAAUCACCUAGGUAUUCACCUUCAUUCAAAACUUGUCCAUACUGAGAAAAUCGCUAACGCCUGUAGUAAAGGACGACAAGCCUAUUUUGCCUUAAAAAUACGUGAAAAUCUCAACCCAGAUACCAUAUCCCGGCUUUACACCAGAAUUGUUCUCCCUUCCAUCGUGUAUGGCUGUGAACUCUGGUAUGACCUACGCAAAAAAGAUCUGCAGGGUCUAAACACUCUAAGACAUUUUAUCUGCAAACAUGCAAUUGGUCUCCCCAAAGAAUACCAGAUCCGACAAAUGCGAAUCACUCCUUAAUUGGGUUUCUCCCAAUAACAUCUGAAAUUGAAAAAAGGAAACUUCAAUUCUUCGGCCGCCUAUGCAAUCAAGACACCCAAACUCUUACAAAGAGGAUUUUUCUUCAUCGACUCUUUUCCUACAUCAACUCACUUGAGCGCAAACAAUUUGGAUACAUUCACGGCGUUAUCAACAUUUUGGCUAGAUACAAUCUCGCUCAACAUCUCUUGAUUUACCUGCAAGUUGGUCAUUUCCCCCUUAAGGAUCUCUGGAAUAAAACUGCCAAGGCAGCUGUAACCAAUAUCCACAUCAACUCCAGGCGUCAGCGCAUGCUCUCUGACCCCGACUUCGUCUUAUUUAACAUCAUAAACGCGGGAAGAGCCCCGUUCGCUAUUUGGAAAUUUCCAUCCAACGUACAUGAAAUAGAACUCUGUUAAUUCAUUGUCAAGCUAUGGAGUCUUCCAACCUUACCUCCAAAAAUAUGUAUUGUUUGUGGCAGUUGCUUCACCAAUGUCUCUCAGCACAUCUCGACCGUCUGCCUAGGAACCGUUGCUCUCCGAGACGCUUGGUGGAACACCGUGAUUGAUGACUUUGACAUUUCACUUAGCGCCGAACUUUGCGGUCUUUGUCCACAAGACCUCUAUCUAUUAUGGUGUUCCGAUGUUCCGAUGGGGCCACUUCGACCUUCGCACUUUCGCCUUUAGGUCGAGGUGCGAAGUUGCGACGGCGAAAGUGCGAAGAUGCGACGGCGAAAGUGCGAAGUUGCGAAGGCGAAGAAGCGAUACUACUAUCGCACCUUCGCCAUUACAACUUCGCACUCUCGCCUUCGCAUCUUCGCACUUUCGCCUUCGCCUUUUUAUAAUUGUGGAGCUCUCUAUCGUUUAAAGACAAUUUUAGCUGUAUAAAAGGACAUCUGAGGCAGACGAUGAACUUUUUAGAAUUUAUUUUCAACAGCCUGCGCAGAUCACUAACUUUUUCUAGGGGGGUGGGAUGGAUAAAUAAUUAUAUUUGUCGGGGGCGGGGGAGGGUUCCGAAACAUAGUUUGGAGAUUUUAUUAUAAAUAAUUAAUAAAAUUAAAUUUUCCGGGGGGGGGGGGUGAGAUCCGGACCCUCUCUCCCCCUUUACUGCAUGUGUGAAGUUAUCAAUAUUGAAUUUUCCGGGGGUGGGGGACCCCUCUAGAUCCAAACAUCAGCAAGGAGUGUCGCAUAAUGAAAUUAGAAUGCUACUGUGUUUGAUCCACGGUAAACAGACAGCUGGUAGGUGACAGGAGUCUGGAAGUGCAUAUGUACAUACAUUAUGGCGGACAUUAUUACAAAUUGUUACAUGCGCGAAGAUUUAAACUGUAACUGUAUUUAUAUACUAUAAGAGGAAAUAAAGAUAGAAUGAGUGGAUGAAUAAAUAAUUAUUCUUA